rnacentral:rRNA from 1 species
AUGUUGCAGGAGGAUGAGGGUAUUGAUGAAGAUGUGAACCAUCGAAUCAAAGCCGGAUGGAUGAAGUGGCGCCAAGCUUCUGGCAUUCUCUGUGACAAGAGAGUGCCACAAAAGCUAAAAGGCAAGUUCUACAGGACGGCGGUUCGACCCGCAAUGUUGUAUGGCGCGGAGUGUUGGCCGACUAAAAGGCGACAUGUUCAACAGUUAGGUGUGGCGGAGAUGCGUAUGUUGAGAUGGAUGUGUGGCCACACGAGGAAGGAUCGAGUCCGGAAUGAUGAUAUACGAGAUAGAAUUGGGGUAGCACCAAUUGAGGAGAAGCUUGUCCAACAUCGUUUGAGAUGGUUUGGGCAUAUUCAGCGCAGGCCUCCAGAAGCUCCAGUGCAUAGCGGACGGCUAAAGCGUGCGGAG